CCUACGGGAGGCUGCAGUGGGGAAUAUUGGACAAUGGGCGAAAGCCUGAUCCAGCCAUGCCGCGUGUGUGAAGAAGGCCUUCGGGUUGUAAAGCACUUUCAGUGGGGAAGAAAGCCUUGGGGCUAAUACCCUCGAGGAAGGACAUCACCCACAGAAGAAGCACCGGCUAACUCCGUGCCAGCAGCCGCGGUAAUACGGAGGGUGCGAGCGUUAAUCGGAAUUACUGGGCGUAAAGCGCGCGUAGGCGGUCUGAUAAGCCGGUUGUGAAAGCCCCGGGCUCACCCUGGGAACGGCAUCCGGAACUGUCAGGCUAGAGUGCAGGAGAGGAAGGUAGAAUUCCCGGUGUAGCGGUGAAAUGCGUAGAGAUCGGGAGGAAUACCAGUGGCGAAGGCGGCCUUCUGGACUGACACUGACGCUGAGGUGCGAAAGCGUGGGUAGCAAACAGGAUUAGAUACCCGGGUAGUC
rnacentral:rRNA from 1 species